rnacentral:rRNA from 1 species
AUGACAAAGCCUAAAGCGGAGGGUGGUAUGGGUUUUCGGGAUCUCAGAUUAUUUAACUAGGCUCUUUUAGCGAAGCAGGCAUGGAGGCUGGUGGUGAAUCCGGAAUCUCUGUGUGCCAGAGUGAUCAAGGCAAAAUAUUAUCCACAGGGGCAUAUUUUAGACACAGCUUUCCCGCAGUCGGCCUCUCUCACAUGGCAAGGUAUUUUGCAUGGGUUGGAGCUGCUUAAAUCCGGAGUUAUUUGGAGAGUGUGUGAUGGGGCUAAUAUUCAUAUUUGGAGAGAUAAUUGGCUUCCUAGAGCUUCUGGACUUAAAAUCUCUGCAAAGAAGAAUAGAACUAGAGUUAAAUGGGUUGAGGAAUUGUUCAUGAGUGGAGAAAGGAGAUGGGAUGAGGAGCUGGUUAGGCAUUUAUUUUACCCUUAUGACGCGGAUGAGAUCUUGAGGAUGCGGAUCCAAUCAAAUGGGGAGGCAGAUUUUGUUGCUUGGCAUUAUGAAAAGUCAGGGUUGUUCUCAGUUAGGAGU